CUGCUGGACAAGGCGGUACCGCACCAGGAGCUGCAUGGGAAGGGAAGGAGAGGUGAGGUGGCAGUGAGAGGAGCCCAGCUUGGACUCUACAGAGGAGAUGGUCCUGAUCCCCAGGCUCACCUUGAACAUCGUUAUUAAAAAGUGGCCAGGGGGGCCAGAGAUGUCACUGGGAACUGGUGGUGUUCGUACCUGCUUUGGGUACAUAAGCAAGAGGCUGGAGCUGUCUGCUAAUCCCGGAAGAAGAGGAGAAAGCAAAACAUCACUGGAAAGCAAGGAACCAGACAGCAUGGCCCGUUCAGGCGUGCUCAGUAUUAACGCUGCAAGGUCUUCAGCAGCAACCCCACUGCCACACAAACAGGGCCAGAAGCUGCAGCAAGCACUGGACAGCCCAUCCCAAACUCAGGACAGCACUGGAGAGAGCCUGUCCCAGGCACGGGACAGAAGCUCCCCUCAGAAAAGCAUGGCAG